CUCGGCCAGCCUGCUCGAGAUCCAUUUCAGCAUCAGAAAAGAACUUUUGCGCUAGUAGUGCCAGCAAGGGAGAAGUCAAUAAUUAGGCAGCCCACAGAAUUUUUCACAUAAGGGCGUAGACAGACAUUUUUCAGAAAUUUCCCCCGGGAUGCCAAGGAGUGACUGACCACUGCCCAUCUUGCCGAUCAGGAUGGGAAUUUCAUACUGCACGCGUGGAUCAAGUAAUUCAAAGGGAAUCUUCACACGGCCCAAACUCUGGCAAUGAUUGACAGCUGCGAUGGCAGUUAGGUCAAUUGCUUCCUUUCUGACUAAGCGUUUUGAUGUGCGCUGGAGAAUGCGGAGCCAGCCGGACUAUUCUCAGCCGGGCCACAUAUAGGCCAGCCGCUAAGACGCACGCCGACUUUGAGUCCGGCUGCUCGACUCCAGCUAACAUCAUUUACCAGAUAUUUUUCCAACUGCUGACAAGCCCGCUCACCUGAUAUGCCAUUUUCGGUCGUAUCCGCCGCCGAGGGCGAACUGGGCCUGUUGCUGCGGCUUCCUCCGAUGAGACACAAG